CUUUGCCCAGAGUGGAUGGAACGUGCCAGAAGUUGGGGAUCAAGGGGUUUGUGAACUCUCCUGCCACUUCAGUAUCCUUGUAUGGAUGAGAGCCACAGCAGAUGGAAGACGCCUUCUGACCAAAGGCCUGGGAUAACAGAAGAAAUUGGGCAAUCUUUUGUGAUUGUUGUAAACGAGACUUUGUGACCAUUGCUGGAUGUUUUCAGCACCCAUCUCGAGCAUGGACCAACUGAUCCUCCUUUGGCAAUCAGCACUGCGAACCCUAUUAUGCAGAUGAAGAAACUGAGGCAACGAACAGCACUCCAGGGGCACAGAGAAAGUUGUGAUGAAAUUUAGGUUAGAGGUCAAAGUUGUGCCCCACUGAGGGGAAAAGUGAGGGGGUAUCACAGAAAUUCCUUAGCCUUGGGCUUGCUCUGACAUUCCUUUAGGCUUCCGCUUCUUUCUUCUUCUGGCUGAAGAGGACUCAUUGGGAUCUCAGAGCACAAUGCACAGA
rnacentral:lncRNA from 1 species